CAGAAACACAUUAUUAGUGGCAUUUAAAGACAUAACUUAACACUUGUUUAUACUACAUUUUAUGUUCAAUCCAUAGAGCAAUCGUUUUGAGUCCUGAGACCCUGGGAUGACCACCGUGAACAAAUACAGAAGCACUCAAUUUGAGUCCUGAGACCCUGGGAUGACCACCGUGAACAAAUACAGACUGCAAAAAGGCAGUCUUGAUGGUACUAGGAUGAAUGCAAAUAAAGACUAACCACCUGACUUCAGCGGUCCAGUCUCUUGUGGGAAGCAGGUGCUUGUUACCCCAAAUACGGAUGAAGUGUGACGAAGAG